rnacentral:lncRNA from 1 species
UUACAGCAUUACUCAUCAUUCCAUAAAGAAAGAAAAACUAGAAACAAUUUGAAUAUCCACCAUAAAAGAAAUAGUUCAGGAAAAAUAGUUUGCAGAGAAUUUUAAAUAUAGAGGAAUGCUUAUAAUAAAAUGCUAGGAGAAAAAGAGCAAGAUAUGAAAUGAUCUCAACUAUGACAUGACAUCUUAUGCUUGCGUGACUUCUCCAUUUGUCAGAGGCAUCUACUCUGCCUCGAGGAAAUGUAGGAUUGUUAAAGCAAGAAUUUAAAAAGCAAGAACCAGCCGAUGUUCGAGGGUGAUGGGGCCUUGGCAUGCAGAGAUGAGACGGUGGAAGGAACAGUCCCAGCACUGAGACUUGGGUGCCAAGCCCGCACAGCUUAAGAGCAGAGGAGGAGCGUGCUUUUGUCAAAAGCGAUUGGACAUCUGAGGACAAGAACAUGACUGAAACAACCCAUCUCUCUAAUUCACUGUGUUCUACUUCAUCAGCAUCACUCCGAUAUUAUCAUCAUCUUCAUCAUAACCUCCAUCUAAAAAAGAUUUAUUACACAGUGUUUGCGUCUGUGGUCAAUAUAUAAUACAGACAAGACAAGUGCUCCCUUCCUGCUAUAGAUGAGUUUGCAAUUUAUAAAGGAGUGUGGUGCAGAGGAAACACCUUAUGCUUUGAAAUAAAACCAAACUGGG